GGGGAAAUGAUGUUUAAUGCGGAAUCACAGUUUACCGACUAAGUAUGGGUGGGUAAAUGCGGAGCAAUAUGGGUUGGAUGUAUGUGCAGGCGGCGCAGUAGAUAGUUGGCGGGGUAAGGAGCCACCAAGGCGACUAUGUGUAAGCGACUUGAGAGGGUGAACGGACACAAUGUGAUUGAAUCACGGCCCAGACUCCUACGGGAGGCAGCAGUAGGGAAUCUUCCACAAUGGGGGCAACCCUGAAGGAGCAACGCCACGUGAGUGAGGAAGGCUUUCGGGUCGUAAAGCUCUGUUGCCAGGGAAGAACGCCUAGGAGAGUAACUACUCUUAGGGUGACGGUACCUGCGAAGAAAGCCCCGGCUAAAAACGUGCCAGCAGCCGCGGUUAUACG
rnacentral:rRNA from 1 species